rnacentral:ncRNA from 1 species
UUAUCGGAGAGUUUGAUCCUGGCUCAGGACGAACGCUGGCGGCGUGCUUAACACAUGCAAGUCGAACGAUGAAGCCCAGCUUGCUGGGUGGAUUAGUGGCGAACGGGUGAGUAACACGUGAGUAACCUGCCCU